rnacentral:tRNA from 1 species
GGGGAUGUAGCCCAGUGGUACAGCACUUGUCUGGCACACAGGAGGCUGAGUCCCAUCCCCA